rnacentral:rRNA from 1 species
UCCAGACUCCUACGGGAGGCAGCAGUGGGGAAUAUUGCACAAUGGGGGAAACCCUGAUGCAGCGACGCCGCGUGAGUGAAGAAGUAUUUCGGUAUGUAAAGCUCUAUCAGCAGGGAAGAAAAUGACGGUACCUGACUAAGAAGCCCCGGCUAACUACGUGCCAGCAGCCGCGGUAAUACGUAGGGGGCAAGCGUUAUCCGGAUUUACUGGGUGUAAAGGGAGCGUAGACGGCAUGGCAAGUCAGAUGUGAAAGCCCGGGGCUCAACCCCGGGACUGCAUUUGAAACUGUCAGGCUGGAGUGCAGGAGAGGUAAGUGGAAUUCCUAGUGUAGCGGUGAAAUGCGUAGAUAUUAGGAGGAACACCAGUGGCGAAGGCGACUUACUGGACUGUAACUGACGUUGAGGCACGAAAGUGUGGGGAGCAAACAGGAUUAGAUACCCCAGUAUA